UACGGCUAUGUCGCGUUGAAACACCAGUUUCCGUACGAUCAACGAAGUUAAGCAACGUCGAGCUUGGUCAAUACCUAGAUGAGUGAACGCUUGAGAAUCC